GCAUAUACACACAAGACGGAAGGAGGGCAGGAUGUCCACGCGGACGUACUGCGUCAUCCCACAUGAGGCGCGCCAAGACACCUCCUUCUUCCAGGGCGUCUUCGAGGAUGGGGUUCGGGUGCUCUACCGCGGCCGCCUACAGUCACUCGUCUUCUCUCACGUGCUGAGCCCUGCUCAUGAUUACGUGAAGCACGUCAAUGGCCCGCUUCUAGCUACGCUGCGCGAGGGUGGCAAUGCUACUCUCGUGCUUGCGACGCCGAACUCCGAAGAUGUGGUACUGCCCCCUAAGCCGAUGGCGUCGGGUGUGAACGGCACCGCAUCGCAGGUCCAGGCUGAUGCGCGAACGCCUGUCGCACGCGUACCUUCAUCGUCAACGUCGUCUCAGAGGCCAAACGCGGGGUUGGCGGAGGCCACGGCAGUGGCAAUGGAGCUAUACGCGCAUCUCUUUCCCUUGCUAUUUCGGAAUCUCGAGGGCUGCUCAGCAGCCCGGCUCUCUGCGGUGACGGUUUCCGCGUCGGAGCGGGUGCUGCUGGACGGCCUCCGCGAAGAUCGUCGCAUCCGCACCCUGGAGGAGGCGCACAAGGCGACCGUGACGCGCAGCGCCUCGGCAACGGAGUGGGGCACGAUCUUGCAGCUCCUCGAAGACCGCCACGUCGCGCUGGAGGAGUCUCCGACAUCGCUCGAGGGGCAGACGGCCUGUGUGGUGACGGUGGAGCUGCAGGGCUAUGGUCGACUGGUUGUUGUCGACGCGGCCAGCGCGCAGGAGCUGCUGCAGCAACUCACGCUCAUUCUCCACAUGCGGGCGGACGGUGCGGCUCGCACCUACCCUCCACACACUCCCCUCCGCGACCUUUUAGAAAGGAGUGUGGCACCGCAGGCAACGGUGCAGGUGCUUUGUGUGCCAGCACCGCAAUACACGGUGCGACAAACGAUGCGCGUUCUUUACUUUGCCGCCACAGUGGAGGUGGCGCAGAGCAGCGGGGCUGCUGCUGCUGCUGCUGCUGCUGCUGCGACGGACGCAUCAGUGUCAACGACAUCCUGUUCUAGGCCGCCGCGCAAUCGAGCGGCGUCAUUGUCGUCUGCACCGUCGAAGCUCUUCUCGAGACCAGCAACGUCCCCGACUCCUUCGGCUGUGGAGGCGAGCCCCACCCACGACAGCGUCGCAGACUCCAGUUCCCGGCGUGUUAGGGAGCUGGCUGCCGUGCGUCCAGACGUAGAAGAAACAUGCAGGAGCUGCAGCAGCUGUAGUGCCACUAGUGGCUUUCGAGAGCGGACGCCGGCUCAGUUACCGGUGCCGAGUGUGCAGCUCGAUCGAGACCUUCAGCGAGCGCGAGAACAGCACCUACUCAAGCGCCUUGUGUUUAUCGAAGAGCAGCUGCGAAGCUCGGAGGAGCAAGGCCGUCGCGCACAGGCUGCCCGCGAUCAAGCACUCCAAGAGCGCAACGAUUUGAAGCGCGAGCUUCGCGGCAAGACAGGCCUCUGGACGGACCUGCAGCGUGCCCAUCAAGCAACCAAGAAGGAGAACGCCGACUACGCGCAACUGGUCGAGCGGCUCGUGCGGCAGGUCCGUACGCUGGAGCGGGAGGCAGCGCGGCAGAAGCGGCAGGACGCCGCGGUGGUGAAGCAGUUGCGGCAGGCAGAGACGGAGAAGGAAGAGCUGACGGUGCAGCUGACGCAGCUUCGCAGAGAGGUGCUGCUCUUCCGAAAGGAUGCCACCCGACGCGCACGGGAGGCGACACUCUCGCGUAUCUUGCCGAGCGAGACGUCUGUGCCGGUGCCUGGAGCUGCAGCGGAGCGGCAGCCUUCGCAGUCCCGACACGCGCGCCGGCCGGCACCUCCAUCAGUCUCUUUCAUGUCUACGAGUGAUGUGGGACGCCACUCCCCUCGUGCGCGGCGCAUCGAUGACCGCAUCACGGAUAUGGAGGGCUCGUUAGGCAAAAAGAACGGUGAUGUCCCCUCUCUCACACAGAAGCAGCAAGACCGCAUAGCGGCGAUCACAGUGGACGAGCUUCGCUGGCGAAACCGCCAGCUGAUGCAGGAGGUGGAUCGACUGCAGGAGCGCCUGCUGGCGGCUCUCACGGCAACGGCGAAGCGAGGAACGACUGAGAGUGCCGCAACUGGAUCAAUGGCUGAUCAUCGCCGAGAUGGAGGUUGCCCCACGUGCGAUGUCAUGCAGGAGCGUAUAGAGCAGUUUCAAGCGGAGCUGGCUCACGUUUGUGAGGAAAAAGAUGCGGUGCUGCGCCUCAUGACCAAGUCUUCUCCCUUCCUCCGGCCUCGCGAUACAAAGCCCACCAUUGCUGCAAACCUGCCGCGGAGCUGUGGGAGCACGCCGCGUUCACAUUCACGGCCUUCCGAGAUGAGAUGUGGCGGUAGUGAAGACGAUGGUGACGCCACGGGUAUUCGCAGCGCGUCCCAGCCGGCGAAGGCGACUCCCACAGACUGCACUCAACGCGUUGCUGCUUCUCUACUCGCUGGCUGCGCGUCUCUGGAUGCCCAGCUUGCGUGUGCACAGAGGGCACUGCUACGUAGGCUGCGCGGCGGCGCCUCCGCAAGCGCGCCGGCCAGCAGUGAGCUGCUUGACCCUCUCUCACAGCUCUCGCCCGUCAUUCUUCAAGAACACAAAGAGGCUGUGGCUGCCCUUGCAGACUCGCUUCGGCAGAUUGCCGAGAAACCGGCUUCUCGUGUGGCUGCCACACGUUCCGCCGCCUUUCCCGCAUCUUCGCGAGACGCUUCAGCAACGACGCGGACGUUGUUGCCACCCGUCCCCCGCUGCGCCACCGCGGCGGACGCCGACACGCUGACGAACUACCUUUCCUUUGAGGUGGAGCGUUGCCAGCACCUGCGUGCCUUCAUCCCGACCUUUGCGCAGUUGGCGGUUGCGACGGAGCACCUCGCCAUGCGUCUUGAGGCGACCGACGCCAACACGAGCUGAGGGAGGGAGGGCAAGGGUCGGGUCAAGAGGGAGAGGGGGGUAGCUCGCGGGCAUCAGGGAAGGCAAUGCGAUACUCCGGUCGCUUUAUCUCAGAUACUCGUGCCUUGAGUUUUGGGGCGUAUCAUUCAUGUGAGUUUCUCGCCUCUUUAGGCGCUCUCUCGUGUUGUGCGGAGGUGCUGCGGCGUUUUGUGCCCUCUCGUUGUGCUCCCUGUGAUGUGCGCGCUGUCACGAGAUGGUGCUCAUACCCACUCUCUCCCCGUAAACUGUUUCUUAUCGUUCACCACUGCACCAAGGUAGACUGUAUAGAUGCCUAGACCUGCACGUUUGUGCCAACGUGUGCACAUAUAUAUAUAUAUAUAUGUAUAUAUGCACAGGUGUGUGUGUGUGCGCGCUCAUGUGCUCAGAUGCGUUCCGCUUCGGGGUGGGCACGGGGGCCGGGACAGGCGAAGGCGUUGCGUGAGGAGGAUAAGGGAGAUCGCUAAGAGCGGCCGUCUCUCUGUGUCGCUUUGCUUCCCUGCCAGACCGACGAGCAACGGCGGACCUCUCCCCUCCCCCUCCCCACCCACGGCUGAUCGUUGCCACACAGACGCAAGGCACCCACGAGUAAUAUGGCAUACACACACAAGUAUGGCAUACGCGCGCACCACCACCACAGCAUCACCAUCAAGCGAAUCAACAUACCCAGCCACCCAUGCACAAUUGCUUACUUAACUUUGCGAAUUGCGUACCACGCCGGCUUAUGCCGGCUGCUGCAAGUGAGGGCUUCGGCGUCUUGAGGACGUGCGGCAACCCGUUGGGCACGAACGAGAUACGGAGGGAGAGAGACCAUGGACGAGUGGGCGAAGGGGGAGGGGAGGGUGCGACGCGCUCCGUUUUACGAAUGCGCCACGUGCGUUUG
rnacentral:misc_RNA from 1 species